GUGCGGAUCCGAGAUCGCUUGUUCCCGCGCGCGCUCUAUCGAAGUUUCAGUUCCGCGCCAAAAUCUUUGCUUGGCUCGCGCCCAAUCCCGGAACCAAGGACGGCGACGACACCCCCGCGGGGGUCGGGGCAUACACACCGCGAAGAUCCGGGCAGGCCCGGUACGCGUCGGUCAAUCCGAUCACGGUUUCCGCCGCACCCAGGAAAAGGAAGCCAUCAGGUUCAUUGAUCUUCUGCAUCCGCCCGAACACGUCGAUCUUGGUGGGCUGAUCGAAGUAGAUCAGCACGUUCCGACAGAAGAUGAUGUCGAAGAUUCCGAAGUGGGAGAAAUCCUGCAACAGGUUGGCCUGCUGGUAGCGGACCAUGGCGCGGAUAUCGGGAUUAAGCUGCCAGACAUCGCCGACCUGCUUGAAAUGCUUCACCAGCAAC
rnacentral:misc_RNA from 1 species